UAAUGUUAGUUUUAUGACUGUCUCAAACAAAUCAUUUCAACAGAAUAUUCUUUCUGUUACUGCUCCUUGUAUUCUCAGGGCUCUACAGUUUCCACCGAGGCCUGCUUGAUAAUGCUGAAGACCUUCAGUAAAUCUCAGAACACUGGAUCACCCCAGGGUCUCUUGGAGGAACGAACUGUGGAGCAGAACCUUUGCUACGUACUGAGUGAUUGUGUGGCUACGCAAUUGGAUGGACCCCUCCAAAUGCUGAAGGCUUAAGCUCCAAUAUGAUGGAAUCUAGAGAUGGGAUCAUGCUGUGUAACAGUUUCCUCUGAGAUUAAAAACAAUCCUACAGAAA